UAGGGAAUCUUCCACAAUGGGCGAAAGCCUGAUGGAGCAACGCCGCGUGUGUGAUGAAGGGUUCCGGCUCGUAAAACACUGUUGUAAGAGAAGAAUGACAUUGAGAGUAACUGUUCACCCCUUGACGGUAUCUAACCAGAAAGCCAACGGCUAACUACGUGCCAG
rnacentral:rRNA from 1 species